UACGGAGGAGGCAAGCGUUAUCCGGAAUUAUUGGGCGUAAAGCGUCCGUAGGUGGUUUAGUAAGUCUGCUGUUAAAGCGCGGGGCUUAACUCCGUAUCGGCAGUGGAAACUACUAGACUAGAGUGUGGUAGGGGUAGAGGGAAUUCCCAGUGUAGCGGUGAAAUGCGUAAAUAUUGGGAAGAACACCGGUGGCGAAGGCGCUCUACUGGGCCAUAACUGACACUGAUGGACGAAAGCUAGGGGAGCGAAAGGG
rnacentral:rRNA from 1 species